GGACUUGGAGCGUGCUGGCGAAAGUCGGCUCCUCUCUAAAUGCAUCAGCGGAUAAUAAUAUACCCUUUGCUGUCAUCAGUGUGAUAAUCAUGUCUCGCUGUUACCAGGCUCGGUGGUGUCCGCUUCUAAUGGUCUUCGGACAAUACAAUACACUUUUUAAAUUUGACCUCAAAUCAGGUAGGACUACCCGCUGAACUUAA
rnacentral:misc_RNA from 1 species